rnacentral:rRNA from 1 species
UACGGAGGAUCCAAGCGUUAUCCGGAAUCAUUGGGCUUAAAGGGUCCGUAGGCGGAUCUGUAAGUCAGUGGUGAAAUCUCCCCGCUUAACGGGGAAACUGCCAUUGAUACUGCAGAUCUUGAAUUAUUGGGAAGUAACUAGAAUAUGUAGUGUAGCGGUGAAAUGCUUAGAGAUUACAUGGAAUACCGAUUGCGAAGGCAGGUUACUGCCAAUACAUUGACGCUGAUGGACGAAAGCGUGGGUAGCGAACAGG